CUUAAUUUAUUAUCCAAAUGGCUGGUGCUAUUAACUUUGUGCAUUCCAAGUACAUAUACAUGAUUUGUUUUGCCUCAUUUACUCCUGGUAGACGGGGACAGUGACAUGGCUUCUCUGCUGCUGCUUCUCCAUCUCUUGCCACCCACAGCUGGACGGAAGAGGAUCAAAAUAAGUCCCAGUGAUGCAGUGGGAAAAAUGUUGCAUUGUCACAAGUCAUGCUGCAGCAUCAGUGAACACCUGCUGGGAAGAGAGGCUAAACAACCGGACCUCCUUGCUGUUGGCCGAAACAAAAACAGAAUCGAUGCCUUCUCCAUCGUUGUGGAUAAACGGCUCAUCCCCUGCCAAGCUACGAGCUCGUUGGGUGCUUUUGAUGAACUAUUUAAAUCCCACUACGUGUUCAACCUGUCUUACGAUGAAACUUUGGUCCCACUCUUCACCUUUGUGCAGACAACAGUCUACAACAUCGAUAUUACAACAACAGAUCAGUCUCCAAGAGUACGUGAGUUCUGGGCGAAGGUCUUGCACGUGGUUUAAAAAUGAAGUGUUUCAUUUGUGGUGUUGUACAUGCGGCCUGCCAGGAGUUGAUUUUUGUAAAUGUGCAUGAUGGUGCUUUGAAGAUAUUUUCUGAAUAAAAUAAAAAGAAUUGUAUCAAUAA